AGAGUUUGAUCAUGGCUCAGAUUGAACGCUGGCGGCAGGCCUAACACAUGCAAGUCGAACGGUAACAGGAAGCAGCUUGCUGCUUCGCUGACGAGUGGCGGACGGGUGAGUAAUGUCUGGGAAACUGCCUGAUGGAGGGGGAUAACUACUGGAAACGGUAGCUAAUACCGCAUAAUGUCGCAAGACCAAAGAGGGGGACCUUCGGGCCUCUUGCCAUCGGAUGUGCCCAGAUGGGAUUAGCUUGUUGGUGGGGUAACGGCUCACCAAGGCGACGAUCCCUAGCUGGUCUGAGAGGAUGACCAGCCACACUGGAACUGAGACACGGUCCAGACUCCUACGGGAGGCAGCAGUGGGGAAUAUUGCACAAUGGGCGCAAGCCUGAUGCAGCCAUGCCGCGUGUAUGAAGAAGGCCUUCGGGUUGUAAAGUACUUUCAGCGGGGAGGAAGGGAGUAAAGUUAAUACCUUUGCUCAUUGACGUUACCCGCAGAAGAAGCACCGGCUAACUCCGUGCCAGCAGCCGCGGUAAUACGGAGGGUGCAAGCGUUAAUCGGAAUUACUGGGCGUAAAGCGCACGCAGGCGGUUUGUUAAGUCAGAUGUGAAAUCCCCGGGCUCAACCUGGGAACUGCAUCUGAUACUGGCAAGCUUGAGUCUCGUAGAGGGGGGUGGAAUUCCAGGUGUAGCGGUGAAAUGCGUAGAGAUCUGGAGGAAUACCGGUGGCGAAGGCGGCCCCCUGGACGAAGACUGACGCUCAGGUGCGAAAGCGUGGGGAGCAAACAGGAUUAGAUACCCUGGUAGUCCACGCCGUAAACGAUGUCGACUUGGAGGUUGUGCCCUUGAGGCGUGGCUUCCGGAGCUAACGCGUUAAGUCGACCGCCUGGGGAGUACGGCCGCAAGGUUAAAACUCAAAUGAAUUGACGGGGGCCCGCACAAGCGGUGGAGCAUGUGGUUUAAUUCGAUGCAACGCGAAGAACCUUACCUGGUCUUGACAUCCACGGAAGUUUUCAGAGAUGAGAAUGUGCCUUCGGGAACCGUGAGACAGGUGCUGCAUGGCUGUCGUCAGCUCGUGUUGUGAAAUGUUGGGUUAAGUCCCGCAACGAGCGCAACCCUUAUCCUUUGUUGCCAGCGGUCCGGCCGGGAACUCAAAGGAGACUGCCAGUGAUAAACUGGAGGAAGGUGGGGAUGACGUCAAGUCAUCAUGGCCCUUACGACCAGGGCUACACACGUGCUACAAUGGCGCAUACAAAGAGAAGCGACCUCGCGAGAGCAAGCGGACCUCAUAAAGUGCGUCGUAGUCCGGAUUGGAGUCUGCAACUCGACUCCAUGAAGUCGGAAUCGCUAGUAAUCGUGGAUCAGAAUGCCACGGUGAAUACGUUCCCGGGCCUUGUACACACCGCCCGUCACACCAUGGGAGUGGGUUGCAAAAGAAGUAGGUAGCUUAACCUUCGGGAGGGCGCUUACCACUUUGUGAUUCAUGACUGGGGUGAAGUCGUAACAAGGUAACCGUAGGGGAACCUGCGGUUGGAUCACCU
rnacentral:rRNA from 1 species